CGCGGCCUAUCAGCUUGUUGGUGAGGUCACGGCUCACCAAGGCGACGACGGGUAGCUGGUCUGAGAGGAUGAUCAGCCACAUUGGGACCGAGAUACGGCCCAGACUCCUACGGGAGGCAGCAGUGGGGAAUAUUGCGCAAUGGCCGCAAGGCUGACGCAGCGACGCCGUGUGUGGGAUGAAGGCCCUCGGGUCGUAAACCACUGUCAGGGGGGACGAAUACCCGGCCUCGAGUAGGGGACCGGGGGUGACGGUACCCCCAGAGGAAGCACCGGCUAACUCCGUGCCAGCAGCCGCGGUAAUACGGAGGGUGCGAGCGUUGUCCGGAAUCACUGGGCGUAAAGCGCGCGUAGGCGGCUGUUUAAGUCAUUUGUGAAAUCCCGGGGCUCAACUCCGGGCCUGCAAGUGAUACUGGACGGCUCGAGCUCGGUAGAGGCGAGUGGAAUUCCCGGUGUAGCGGUGGAAUGCGUAGAUAUCGGGAAGAACACCAGUGGCGAAGGCGGCUCGCUGGGCCGUAGCUGACGCUGAGGCGCGAAAGCGUGGGGAGCAAACAGGAUUAGAUACCCUGGUAGUCCACGCCGUAAACGAUGGGUACUAGGCGUCGGGGGGAGCGACCCCCUCGGUGCCGCAGCUAACGCGUUAAGUACCCCGCCUGGGGAGUACGG
rnacentral:rRNA from 1 species